UCAUUGCGUAAGCGAUUGGAACGGCAUCCUUUUCUAUUAUUUUUUUUUAAAAAAAUGAAAAAAAAGAUAUAGUGGAAAGCGCGGUGCUUC
rnacentral:sRNA from 1 species